ACGGGAGGCACAGGAGAUCCUUGUCUCUGGUAGACUUGCCUUCCCCCAACCCAACACUUCUCUAAGUCAGUUGCAUUAAAAAGCUGUAAGCCACCCUGGGGGCUGGUGCACAGGACUCACGAGCAGCCACCGCAAGCAUGGCUCAGGAGAGACAGGUCCAGAAGAGAUCCGGCUCACGGGCCCUCCCUCCAUGUCCACCUGGGGCCUGCUGAUAGGACCGCAUGACUCCAUCCUUCGAGUGACAGUGUCCAGGCACAGCCCCUCCGAGCUCUGGGAGGGGGCUGUCUGCAGGAAGGAGAGUGUGCCUGUGCAUUCACAGCAUGCGGACGGCCACCAAACAUGCAGUCACCUCCGCCAUCCUCAGGAGGACUUGCUUGUCAAAAUGUUUGAUUGAUAAGGAAACGGAGGCUCAGGGGAGGGCCCGGGUGGUUCCGCUGGCACACAGCGGAGACAGCCAGGGCCUGUCCACUCACGGGGGCCCCCUUUGUGCCAGGCCCUUUGGGUGGAGAGGCCAUGAAAGGCCCCAUAGCUUCACUUGGUGGGGAUAUUCAGCAGGGAGGUCCACAAAACCACAAGCCGCCCGUGUGCCAGUCAUUGACCCCAGCUUGGGGCUGGGGACGCAGGCCUGUGCAGACCAAGACCCCUGCCUUCAUGGAGCCACCCACUGGUGGGCGGAGCAGGCAAGGAACAGCAGGAGGAGAAAACCUCAGUCCCUCCAGGGAGAGAGGUCCUUGCAGGGAGAAGCAGGAGGGGUGGUGGGCGUGUGCCGGCAGGCGGCAGGGAAGCUCAUUGUAACAAAAAUCAAACUGAAAGAAAGCAUUCCAGGAUUCCACCUCCAGAGGAAACUGACCAGGGAAACUGAAGCCUCGAGUGGGCAGAGCCACAUGGCCACACAGUGA
rnacentral:lncRNA from 1 species